GUAGGUGGCAAGCGUUGUCCGGAAUUAUUGGGCGUAAAGCGCGCGCAGGCGGUUCGUUUAAGUCUGAUGUGAAAGCCCACGGGCUCAACCGUGGAGGGUCAUUGGAAACUGGAGAACUUGAGUACAGAAGAGGAAAGCGGAAUUCCACGUGUAGCGGUGAAAUGCGUAGAGAUGUGGAGGAACACCAGUGGCGAAGGCGGCUUUCUGGUCUGUAACUGACGCUGAGGCGCGAAAGCGUGGGGAGCAAACAGGAUUAUAUACCCUGGUAGUCCACGCCGUAAACGAUGAGUGCUAAGUGUUAGGGGGUUUCCGCCCCUUAGUGCUGCAGCUAACGCAUUAAGCACUCCGCCUGGGGAGUACGGCCGCAAAGGCUG
rnacentral:rRNA from 1 species